rnacentral:rRNA from 1 species
GAUGAACGCUGGCGGCGUGCCUAAUACAUGCAAGUCGAGCGAACAGACGAGGAGCUUGCUCCUCUGACGUUAGCGGCGGACGGGUGAGUAACACGUGGAUAACCUACCUAUAAGACUGGGAUAACUUCGGGAAACCGGAGCUAAUACCGGAUAAUAUAUUGAACCGCAUGGUUCAAUAGUGAAAGACGGUUUUGCUGUCACUUAUAGAUGGAUCCGCGCCGCAUUAGCUAGUUGGUAAGGUAACGGCUUACCAAGGCGACGAUGCGUAGCCGACCUGAGAGGGUGAUCGGCCACACUGGAACUGAGACCCGGUCCAGACUCCUACGGGAGGCAGCAGUAGGGAAUCUUCCGCAAAGGGCGAAAGCUUGACGGAGCAACGCCGCGUGAGUGAUGAAGGUCUUCGGAUCGUAAAACUCUGUUAUUAGGGAAGAACAAAUGUGUAAGUAACUAUGCACGUCUUGACGGUACCUAAUCAGAAAGCCACGGCUAACUACGUG